rnacentral:rRNA from 1 species
AUUGAACGCUGGCGGCAGGCCUAACACAUGCAAGUCGAGCGGAUGAAGGGAGCUUGCUCCUGGAUUCAGCGGCGGACGGGUGAGUAAUGCCUAGGAAUCUGCCUGGUAGUGGGGGAUAACGUCCGGAAACGGGCGCUAAUACCGCAUACGUCCUGAGGGAGAAAGUGGGGGAUCUUCGGACCUCACGCUAUCAGAUGAGCCUAGGUCGGAUUAGCUAGUUGGUGGGGUAAAGGCCUACCAAGGCGACGAUCCGUAACUGGUCUGAGAGGAUGUUCAGUCACACUGGAACUGAGACACGGUCCAGACUCCUACGGGAGGCAGCAGUGGGGAAUAUUGGACAAUGGGCGAAAGCCUGAUCCAGCCAUGCCGCGUGUGUGAAGAAGGUCUUCGGAUUGUAAAGCACUUUAAGUUGGGAGGAAGGGCGGUAAGUUAAUACCUUGCUGUUUUGACGUUACCAACAGAAUAAGCACCGGCUAACUUCGUG